GAUGAACGCUAGCGGCAGGCUUAAUACAUGCAAGUCGUGGGGCAGCAGGGGUAGCAAUACCCGCUGGCGACCGGCAAACGGGUGCGGAACACGUACGCAACCUUCCUUUAACUGGAGAAUAGCCCCUCGAAAGAGGGAUUAAUACUCCGUAACAUAUAGAUGUGGCAUCACAAUUAUAUUAUAGCUCCGGCGGUUAAGAUGGGCGUGCGCCUGAUUAGAUAGUUGGCGAGGGUAACGGCCUACCAAGUCUGCGAUCAGUAACUGGUGUGAGAGCACGACCAGUCACACGGGCACUGAGACACGGGCCCGACUCCUACGGGAGGCAGCAGUAAGGAAUAUUGGUCAAUGGACGCAAGUCUGAACCAGCCAUGCCGCGUGGAGGA
rnacentral:rRNA from 1 species